AUUGAACGCUGGCGGCAGGCCUAACACAUGCAAGUCGAACGAGUGGCAGACGGGUGAGUAAUGUCUGGGAAACUGCCCGAUGGAGGGGGAUAACUACUGGAAACGGUAGCUAAUACCGCAUACCAUCGGAUUUGCCCAGAUGGGAUUAGCUAGUAGGUGGGGUAACGGCUCACCUAGACGACGAUCCCUAGCUGGUCUGACAGGGCGACAAGGCACACUGGAACUGAGAAACGGUCCAGAGUCGUACAGGAGGCAGCAGAGGGGAAAAUUGCACAAUGGGCGCAAGCCUGAUGCAGACAUGCCGCGUGUAUAAAGAAGGCAUUCGGGUUAUAAAGUACUUUCAGCGAGGAGUCGUUACUCGCAGAAGAAGCACCGGCUAACUCCGUGCCAGCAGCCGCGGUAAUUC
rnacentral:rRNA from 1 species